GACGAACGCUGGCGGCGUGCCUAAUACAUGCAAGUAGAACGCUGAAGCUUGGUGCUUGCACCGAGCGGAUGAGUUGCGAACGGGUGAGUAACGCGUAGGUAACCUGCCUGGUAGCGGGGGAUAACUAUUGGAAACGAUAGCUAAUACCGCAUAACAGUAGAUGUCGCAUGACAUUUGCUUAAAAGGUGCAAUUGCAUCACUACCAGAUGGACCUGCGUUGUAUUAGCUAGUUGGUGAGGUAACGGCUCACCAAGGCGACGAUACAUAGCCGACCUGAGAGGGUGAUCGGCCACACUGGGACUGAGACACGGCCCAGACUCCUACGGGAGGCAGCAGUAGGGAAUCUUCGGCAAUGGACGGAAGUCUGACCGAGCAACGCCGCGUGAGUGAAGAAGGUUUUCGGAUCGUAAAGCUCUGUUGUAAGAGAAGAACGAGUGUGGGAGUGGAAAGUUCACACUGUGACG
rnacentral:rRNA from 1 species